rfam:Flavobacterium suncheonense GH29-5 = DSM 17707 strain GH29-5 contig20, whole genome shotgun sequence.
CCUUAGCCCCGAUGGGAGCGGUACCUCGUAAAGCGGACAGCGGGAAUUACC